GCCUGGGUAGCUCAAUCGGUAGAGCAUCAGGCUUUUAAUCUGAGGGUCCAGGGUUCAAGUCCCUGUCUAGGCG
rnacentral:tRNA from 1 species